rnacentral:rRNA from 1 species
CAACGGGAUAUCUCGGCUCUCGCAUCGAUGAAGAACGUAGCGAAAUGCGAUACUUGGUGUGAAUUGCAGAAUCCCGUGAACCAUCGAGUCUUUGAACGCAAGUUGCGCCUGAAGCCAUUCGGCCGAAGGCACGUCUGCCUGGGCGUCACGUACCCAAUCGCCCCCCC